CGGGCUGCUUCUCUCUCUGGGAGACUCCUACAGGACAACCAGGGACAAUCAUCUUCACAGGAACCUAUCCUCCCUGCUGGUAAACCUAAUCCUAUAGAUGCAAGAAGGCCUGUAUAUACAGAAGCAAUCCUGCAGUCAGCAAUGGAGCCUCUCUUCUCUUAAGUGAC